rnacentral:rRNA from 1 species
AUUGAACGCUGGCGGCAUGCUUUACACAUGCAAGUCGAACGGUAACAGGCCUUCGGGUGCUGACGAGUGGCGAACGGGUGAGUAAUGCAUCGGAACGUACCCAGAGGUGGGGGAUAACGCAGCGAAAGCUGUGCUAAUACCGCAUGUGAUCUGAGGAUGAAAGCGGGGGACCGAGCAGCAAUGUUUGGCCUCGCGCCUUUGGAGCGGCCGAUGUCGGAUUAGCUAGUUGGUGGGGUAAAGGCCUACCAAGGCGACGAUCCGUAGCUGGUCUGAGAGGACGACCAGCCACACUGGGACUGAGACACGGCCCAGACUCCUACGGGAGGCAGCAGUGGGGAAUUUUGGACAAUGGGCGCAAGCCUGAUCCAGCAAUGCCGCGUGCGGGAAGAAGGCCUUCGGGUUGUAAACCGCUUUUGGCAGGAACGAAACGGUGUCCGCUAAUACCGGGCGCUAAUGACGGUACCUGCAGAAUAAGCACAGGCUAACUACGUG